rnacentral:tRNA from 1 species
GCCGGCGUGGCGAAAUGGUAGACGCAGUGGACUCAAAAUCCACCGGUAGCGAUACCGUGUCGGUUCAACUCCGACCGCCGGUA